UCUAAGUUACCAAGAAACAGUUCGUUUACACGAAUAAGAAAUCGGUGUAUUUUUACAGGACGUCCUCGUGCUGUUUAUGAGAAGUUUCGAAUGUCUCGUAUUGUUUUUCGUGGUUUGGCUGCUCGUGGUGCUUUGCAAGGUGUUAAGAAAGCUUCUUGGUAGAUUGUGCUCAAGGAUUUCAUCUUUUCAAGAAUUAGGAGUCUGCAAGAUCACUAAAAUGGAUCUCAUAUACUAAAGCCCAAGUAGAUUACAGUGGGAACAAGAUUUUCAAUUUCAGGAGUUGUCUCAACUUUUUCAAAUAAAUUGUCAUGUUACAAUCUCUAGCUCGUCCCAUAUCCAGGCUUUGGUUAUGCCCUGUAUACUUUUCUUCAUUAUUGCCCCGAGAUUUCUGGAUGUUCUUAAUCGGCUUGGUAGAACCUUGCUAAAGGUUUUCACUGUCUUGAAAAUUUUGAUUUUAUGGUGUACUGUAUUUCCAGCUUUAACUGUUUAUCAGAGAUUUGUAUGCGUCUGUCUA